AACGAACGCUGGCGGCGUGCUUAACACAUGCAAGUCGAACGGAAAGGCCUGCUUUCCCUUGUGGAUUGCGGGUGCUCGAGUGGCGAACGGGUGAGUAACACGUGAGUGAUCUGCCCCCAACUUGGGUAUAAGCCUGGGAAACUGGGUCUAAUUCCCGAUAGGACUGCAGGGUGGUGCCUGUGGUGGAAAACGAUUUUCUAGUGGUUGGGGAUGAGCUCGCGGCCUAUCAGCUUGUUGGUGGGGUAAUGGCCUACCAAGGCGGCGACGGGUAGCCGGCCUGAGAGGGUGGACGGCCACAUUGGGACUGAGAUACGGCCCAGACUCCUACGGGAGGCAGCAGUGGGGAAUAUUGCACAAUGGGCGGAAGCCUGAUGCAGCGACGCCGCGUGGGGGAUGACGGCCUUCGGGUUGUAAACUCCUUUCGACCGCGAGGAAGCCGCCUGGUUGGAAGGGUGGUGACGGUAGUGGUAGAAGAAGCACCGGCUAACUACGUG
rnacentral:rRNA from 1 species